UACGAAGGGUGCAAGCGUUACUCGGAAUCACUGGGCGUAAAGCGUGCGUAGGCGGUUGGUUAAGUCUGCUGUGAAAGCCCUGGGCUCAACCUGGGAACUGCAGUGGAUACUGGCUAGCUAGAGUGUGAUAGAGGAUGGUGGAAUUCCCGGUGUAGCGGUGAAAUGCGUAGAGAUCGGGAGGAACACCAGUGGCGAAGGCGGGUUGCUGGGCCGACACUGACGCUGAGGCACGAAAGCGUGGGGAGCAAACAGG
rnacentral:rRNA from 1 species